GAUGAAUGCUGGCGGCGUGCCUAACACAUGCAAGUCGAGCGGCAGCGAGGGGUGCUUGCACCCUGUCGGCGAGCGGCGAACGGCUGAGUAACGCGUAGGAAUUUGCCCCAAAGUGAGGAAUAACUGCCCGAAAGGGUAGCUAAUGCCGCAUAUGGUCUUCGGAUUAAAGGAUUUAUCCGCUUUGGGAGAAGCCUGCGUUGGAUUGGGUUGUUGGUAGGGUAAUGGCCUACCAAGCCGACGAUCCAUAGCUGGUCUGAGAGGAUGAUCAGCCAGACUGGAACUGAGACACGGUCCAGACUCCUACGGGAGGCAGCAGUGAGGAAUCUUCCACAAUGGGCGAAAGCCUGAUGGAGCAACGCCGCGUGAAGGAUGAAGGCCUUCGGGUUGUAAACUUCUUUUAUGAGUGAAGAAUAUGACGGUAACUCAUGAAUAAGCACCGGCUAACUACGUG
rnacentral:rRNA from 1 species